ensembl:snoRNA SNORA62 Small nucleolar RNA SNORA62/SNORA6 family
CCUGCACAUUGUUGGAGCUUGGAGUUGAGGCCUAUGGCUGGCUGAUGAGCUCACAAGUAUAGGUCGUGUGCUCUCUAAGGGGUAAGUCCUUUGCUGACACCACAAGGGUCUCUGGCCCAGUGAAUGGAAAUCGAUAGUAAUUCUUGCUACAAGU